rnacentral:rRNA from 1 species
UGAGUAACACGUAUCCAACCUGCCGUCUACUCUUGGACAGCCUUCUGAAAGGAAGAUUAAUACAAGAUGGCAUCAUGAGUCCGCAUGUUCACAUGAUUAAAGGUGUUCCGGUAGACGAUGGGGAUGCGUUCCAUUAGAUAGUAGGCGGGGUAACGGCCCACCUAGUCUUCGAUGGAUAGGGGUUCUGAGAGGAAGGUCCCCCACAUUGGAACUGAGACACGAUCCAA